GACGAACCGUGCGAACGUUAUUCGGAAUCACUGGGCUUAAAGCGCGUGUAGGCGGGACGGCACGUCGGUCGCUGAAAUCCCCCGGCUCAACCGGGGAACGGGCGCCGAUACGACCGCCCUGGAGGGCGUAGGGGGACCUGGAACUUCCGGUGGAGCGGUGAAAUGACGUUGAGAUCGGAAGGAACGCCCGUGGCGAAAGCGAGGUCCUGGACGCCUACUGACGCUGAGACGCGAAAGCCAGGGGAGCGAACGGG
rnacentral:rRNA from 1 species